rnacentral:lncRNA from 1 species
AUCUACGCCCGCUUGUCUUCCUCAUGGACUCGUUCUCCUUUCUUGCGGGAUUUCAGGCAAGAUGACCAUACCCUUGAAAUCACUUCUAUCUUUGCUUGCUAGUGGCUCUCUCUUUUGCUAUGCCUAUGCUGCGAUACCUACCACUUGCUUAUCAUGCCUCCCAUAUUGUUAAACCAAGCCUAUAACCCACCUUGUCCUAGCAAACCGUUGUUUGGCUAUGUUAUCGCUUUGCUCAGCCCCUCUUAUAGCGUUGUUAGUUGCAGGUGAAGAUUGAAGUUUGUUCCUUGUUGGAACAUGGAGAUGUUGUUCCUUGUUGGAACAUGUUUAUUGUUGGGAUAUCACAAUAUCUCUUAUGUAAUUAAUACAUCUAUAUACUUGGUAAAGGAUGGAAGGCUCGCCCUUAUGCCUGGUGUUUUGUUCCACUCUUGUCGCCCUAGUUUCCGUCAUAUCGGUGUUAUGUUCCCGGAUUUUGCGUUCCUUACGCGGUUGGGUUAUAAUGGGAACCCCUUGACAGUUCGCCUUGAAUAAAACUCCUCCAGCAAGGCCCAACAUUGGUUUUACCAUUUGCCACCUAGCCUUUUCUUUCCCUUGAGUCAGCCGGCUCAAGGGUCAUGUUAUUUUAACCCCCCCGGGCCAGUGCUUCUCUAAGUGUUGGUCCAACCUAGAGCACCGUGCGGGGCCGUCCCUUGGCAACUUGGGUUACGUUGGCUCCCGUACGCUUAGCUUAUCCGGUGUGCCCUGAGAACGAGAUAUGUGGAGCGCCUAUUGGGAUUUGUCGGCACAGCGGGUGGUCUUGCUAGACUUGUUUUACCAUUAUCGAGGAUGUCUUGUAACCGGGAUUUCGAGUCUGAUCGGGUCUUCCCGCUAGAAGGAAUAUCCUUCGUUGACCGUGAGAGCUUGUGAUGGGCUAAGUUGGGACACCCCUGCAGGGUUUUAAACUUUCGAAAGCCGUGCCCGCGGUUAUGGGCAGAUGGGAAUUUGUUAAUGUACGGUUGUAGAAAACUUGAAGUUGACUUUAAUUAAAACACAUCAACCGCGUGUGUAGCCGUGAUGGUCUCUUCUCGGCGGGGUCCGGGAAGUGAAGACGGCGUUGGAGUUAUGCUUGACGUAAGUUGUUCUAGGAUCACUUCUUGAUCAUAGUUUCUCGUCCAUGCUUUGCCUUCUCUUCUCGCUCUCAUUUGCGUAUGUUAGCCGCCAUAUAUGCUAGUCGCUUGCUGCAGCUCCACCUCAUACCUUUUACCUUUCCCAUAAGCUUAAAUAGUCUUGAUCACGAGGGUGUGAUAUUGCUGAGUCCUUGUGACUCACAGAUACUUCCAAAACCAGCUUGCAGGUGCCGUUGAACCGUGCAGAUGACGCAACCAAGCUCAAGGAGGAGCUCGAUGAAGAUCUUGCCCUUUGUGUUGUUUCGUUCUAGUUGAUCAGUAGUGGAGCCCAGUUGGGGUCGGUCUGGGAUCUGUGUAGCAGUUGGGGUAGUCUUCUUUUAUUUUGGUUCCGUAGUCGGACCUUGUUUGUAUCUGGAUGAUGUAAUGCUUUAUUCAUGUAAUUGUGUGAAGUGGCGAUUGUAAGCCAACUAUGUAU